rnacentral:rRNA from 1 species
GCUCAGAUUGAACGCUGGCGGCAGGCCUAACACAUGCAAGUCGAGCGGUAACAGGAAGAAGCUUGCUCCUUUGCUGACGAGCGGCGGACGGGUGAGUAAUGCUUGGGAACUUGCCUUUGGGUGGGGGAUAACCAUGGGAAACUGUGGCUAAUACCGCAUGAUAUGUACGCAUCAAAGUGGGGGAUCUUCGGACCUCACGCCCAGAGAUAGGCCCAAGUGAGAUUAGCUAGUUGGUGGGGUAAAGGCUCACCAAGGCGACGAUCUCUAGCUGUUCUGAGAGGAUGAUCAGCCACACUGGGACUGAGACACGGCCCAGACUCCUACGGGAGGCAGCAGUGGGGAAUAUUGCACAAUGGGGGAAACCCUGAUGCAGCCAUGCCGCGUGUGUGAAGAAGGCCUUCGGGUUGUAAAGCACUUUCAGUGGUGAGGAAGGUUGGUAGCUUAAUACGCUGCCAAAUUGACGUUAGCCACAGAAGAAGCACCGGCUAACUCCGUGCCAGCAGCCGCGGUAAUACGGAGGGUGCGAGCGUUAAUCGGAAUUACUGGGCGUAAAGCGUACGUAGGCGGCCUAUUAAGCAAGAUGUGAAAGCCCCGGGCUCAACCUGGGAAUUGCAUUUUGAACUGGUAGGCUCGAGUUUUGAAGAGGGUGGUAGAAUUUCCAGUGUAGCAGUGAAAUGCGUAGAUAUUGGAAGGAAUACCAGUGGCGAAGGCGGCCACCUGGUCAAAAACUGACGCUGAGGUACGAAAGC